rnacentral:lncRNA from 1 species
GAUUGAGAAUUUUUUUUUUUACCAGCAAAGACUGCAAGAACAGGACCUGGUGACACAGUCCUGUUAUUCCAACUACUCUGGGGGAGGAUUGUAAGUUCCAAGGCCUGUCUGGACAAUUUAGCAAGACUCUAUCUCAAAGACAGCGAAGGGUAGGGAUGCUAAAUAAGGAGGCAGGGAUAGGAGCAGGCUUCAGAGUCCUACUGCAGGAAUCUGAAGUUUCACAUUCCGGAGCAUGCUUCAGCAGUCUGGCCAUGUGUGGGCAUCCGGACGUGUCACUUCAUGCUCUGGCAGGGCCCAGAUGAGGCUGCUGUCCCCCGAGAGGAAAAAAACAAGAAGAAAUCCUCACAGUCAGAACAACAGCUGGUGCAGCUGACCCAACAGCUGGCCCAGACAGAA